rnacentral:tRNA from 1 species
GGGAGUGUAGCUCAGUCGGUAGAGCAACGGCCUUUUAAGCCGAAGCUUCCCUU